CCUACGGGUGGCAGCAGUGGGGAAUAUUGCACAAUGGGCGAAAGCCUGAUGCAGCAACGCCGCGUGAGGGAUGAAGGCCUUCGGGUUGUAAACCUCUUUUAGUAGGGAAGAAGCGAAAGUGACGGUACCUACAGAAAAAGCACCGGCUAACUACGUGCCAGCAGCCGCGGUAAUACGUAGGGUGCAAGCGUUGUCCGGAAUUAUUGGGCGUAAAGAGCUCGUAGGCGGUUUGUCGCGUCUGCUGUGAAAACCUGAGGCUCAACCUCAGACCUGCAGUGGGUACGGGCAAGCUAGAGUGCGGUAGGGGAGAUGGGAAUUCCUGGUGUAGCGGUGGAAUGCGCAGAUAUCAGGAGGAACACCGAUGGCGAAGGCACAUCUCUGGGCCGUAACUGACGCUGAGGAGCGAAAGCGUGGGGAGCGAACAGGAUUAGAUACCCUUGUAGUC
rnacentral:rRNA from 1 species